UGUAGGCCGGUGGCUACAGCUCCGAUUGGACCCCUAGCCUGGGAACCUCCAUAUGCCGUGGGAGCGGCCCAAGAAAUAGCAAAAAGACAAAAAAAAAAAAAUCUGUUUUUAAAAAUUAUUUCCCCAAUACUUUAUUUUUUUUCCUACUGUACAGCAUGGUGACCCAGUUACACAUGUAUAUGUUCUUUUUUCUCACAUUAUCAUGCUCCAUCAUAAGUGACCAGACAUAGUUCCCAGUGCCACACAGCAGGAUCUCAUUGCUAAUCCAUUCCAAAGGCAAUAGUCUGCAUCUAUUAACCCCAAAUUCCUGGUCCAUCCCACUUCCUCCCCCUCCCCCUUGGCAACCACAAGUAUAUUUUCCAAGUCCAUGAUUUUCUUUUCUGUGGAAAGGUUCAUUUGUGCCAUAUAUUAGAUUCCAGAUAUAAGUGGUAUCAUAUGGUAUUUGUCUUUCUCUUUCUGACUGACUUCACUCAGUAUGAUUAAAAAAAAAAUCUAAAAAGAAAACUGUUACUGAUACACUUUUUCUGAAAAAAUAUGAUUGAAUGAGUUCCCUUAUGGCUUAGUGGGUUAAAGAUCCAGCAUUGUCACUGCUGUGGCUCAGGUUACAGCUGAGGUGUGGGUUUGAUCCCAGGCUCAGGAACUUCUGCAUGCCUCUAGGGUGGCCAAAAAUAUAUGUAAAUAUAAACAUAAGUAUAAAUAUCCUUUAUAGCAAUUACUGGGCCAAGGAGUUAUAGUGCUUUUUCUUAUUUAUGUUUAUUUUGGGUUUUACAAAUUUUUUGGUGUUUAUAAACAUAAAAUAAUUUAAAAAUAUUUAAAAUGCUUGAAGGUCAUAGGAAGAGAACCGAGUAAUAUGUGCUAAUGGUGACUAGGAUACACUGGCUUCAUGGUGAGAUCAAAAAAAAAAAAAACCAAAAAACUUGUUUGCUUGAAGCAUAGCUUUUGCGUUACUCAGGAUUAUUAUUGGCAAAUGGCAGAAAUCCAAGACAAAGAAGCAUUAAAGGAGAUUCUUAUGUAACUGACAAGUCCAGGAAUGGAAAUAGUACUUCAGGCAUGGCUGGAUCUAGGGCUGUAUUUCUGUCUCUGAAAUCUGUUUUCUCUAGAUGGACCUGAUUCUCUUCUACUACAGAGGGCUCACUUCUUGUAGCUGGGAAAGAUAUUGUUGGCAGUUCUGAUUUUUAAGUGCAGCUUGUGGAACAAGGUUUAACUUUAGUACAUGCAGGGAGGACCCUGGUUGGACCUUCAUGGCGCACGUGCCCAUCUCUGAGCAAAUCAUGGUGGCCACGGGGACAGAGUCCUGGAAUUGGCCAGUCUAGGACCUGCCACCUGUCCAUACCUGUGGGAUGAGAUCAGAGCGAAGUGAUGGACUGCUUCACUGGGACCCCUUUCCUAAAUACGGAUUUCUGCCGGACUAGUAAAACGAGGAGGAUCCACGCUAUCAGUGGAAGGUGGAAGGUAGUACUUAGCUUAUCUAUGUUGUGCUCUUAAGUAUUUUUAUUCAGUCAGACUGACUCUGGUGCCUCAGUCAUACUUAGGUGCUUCAGGAGGUGUGGUACUUAUUGCAGGCCUUGGGGAAGCCCCUUGGUAUAUUCUUGCUCUGGAUAUAAAUAGCCCCCAAGUCAUUCAGUGUCCCCAAGGAGUAAGUUAUUUCCUAAGUUACCUGAUUUACUACCAGGCAUGACCUAGGGUUAGGAAAAAUGAAUCUAUUCUCAUUUAGAUUCUCAUAGCGCUAGACGAUACCUUCUUUCUUACAAGAAGAGCACAGCACUACUGUGAGGUAAAGUCCUGAAGAAUUAUCCUCAUAAAAUUUUGCAGAUACCUAUUGGUUGAACUCCAAAGAUCCUUGGACAGGGUUCCAAAUUUUGUUCUAGAACCAACUCUGGGCAUAGAUACCCUGUUAGAUGUUUAUGGUAUGAACCGAAGGAAUGUUGCAGACACAUUUACUUCUUACUCCUAAUUGGGGAAUGUAGUGAUCUGGACUGGACCAUGUGGCUUGUGAGAGUCUGUUGGUUGGGUCAGAGCCACGCCUAACGGCAUGUUGGGUCUUUGCUCCGUGUUCGACUCCAGCCCCACCUGAGGCUGUGGGGGGCAGUGGUAGAUGGGAGAUUGAUGGUCAAGACAGUUUCCCUUGGGGUCAGUUGUACUAAACUAGCUCUAUGAGAAAAGCAGCCUAUAGGAGGAAAUAGACUCAUCUAAAAGGCAAAUAGUGAGAGCUCACUGCUGAGAAUAGAUUUUUGUUUUUGUGUGUUUUUUGUCUUUUUUCUUUUUUUUGCCUUUUCUAGGGCCACACCUGUGGCAUAUGGAGGUUCCCAGGCUAGAGGUCUAAUUGGAGC
rnacentral:lncRNA from 1 species